rnacentral:rRNA from 1 species
GACGAACCGUGCGAACGUUGUUCGGAAUCACUGGGCUUAAAGGGCGCGUAGGCGGACGACCAAGUCGGGGGUGAAAUCUUUCGGCUCAACCGGAAAAUAGCCUUCGAUACUGGUCGUCUAGAGGGAGGUAGGGGCGUGUGGAACUUCCGGUGGAGCGGUGAAAUGCGUUGAUAUCGGAAGGAACUCCGGUGGCGAAAGCGACACGCUGGAUCUCAUCUGACGCUGGAGGCGCGAAAGGCGUGGGGAGCAAACAGG